UUAACUUUUGUAAGCAUUUUAUUAACAAAGUUUAUUUUUUUCUUCUUUAAUUCAUUAAUUUAAGCCAUUAGAUAUAGAAAUAGAGAAAUGCCAAAUUUUGGUCAAACUUUAAAGAAAGGAUCAACAAUGAAAAUAUGCCAUCUUGACAAAGAAAUAUGUUAAGUAAGAAUAUAUAACUCUUAAGCACAAUAGAAAGUUUACAUAUUUCUAAAAAUCGUUAUGUGAUCGAAAACACGAAUGAUCAAGUUGUUUAAUAUGAAAUAGUGAGAGUUCAAUGCAUAUAAAAAAAAUGCAUGGCCUUCUAAAUUGGUCAGCUUAUACUCUGGUCAUGUUGUGCUAAAACACAAUCUUCAUCCACAUUGUUGUUAAGGUAUCGAACAUUCUAGGUUCUUAUAAAGCCUAUUCUCAGUAAGAAGUUCUAAUCCUACCAAAACAGGGGUUUUAGAUUGCAUGUACUUAUGAAAAGGAUAAUUGAUUUAUUCUAUUUAGUUUGAGUACAGUAUAAGUUAUUACAAAUUUCUAAUUUCUGUAUGUACAGGACGAAGAUUUCACAUUGGGAGCAUACGAGAUGUGAAUGUGAUUCAUGUUAUGUCUGGCCGACGAAGGUUGAAUGCAGGCGUCACAGUGCAGAUUCUUUCGGACAUUUUUAGCGUUCGAGGAAUCGUUCAUUAUGGGACUACAGGUAGCGCCAAUGAUUCCAUGUCGUUUGGCGAUGUUAGCAUUCCUAAGUAUGUGGCCUUUACGGGAUCAUGGACAUGGACGCAUGAACUUGAAUAAUGGAUGGCCAAGGUGGUUCGGACCAUCAGUGAGUGAAUUAGAUGGCCAGUCAAUGAAAUUUGACUCAGAAACAAAGAUGGCUAAUAUGCUUAGCUUUGCAGCAUAUAACGCUCCAGCAGAGGGGAAGAACUUGCUCUCAAGUGUAGUUUUUAAGUCUGAAGAUUUGUUUGUAGAUGGAAAGCCCAUGGAUCAAGUGUUUUGGUUGCAGAUGGAGUCACAAUGGUAUGAAAUUGCCAAGCAACUUAAGGUAGAAUUGCAAAGGUGUGCAAAUGAAAGUUUUUGCUUGCCAGAUGAUCCUAAAAUGGUAUUUGGGCUGAAAGCAUCAACAGCUGAUGUGUUCAUAGACAAUGCUGCUUACCGACAAUUUCUAUUUAAUGAAUUUGGUGUUUCGACUGUGGAUCAGGAAAGUGCAGCUGUUGUGCAGACUGCUAUGGCUUCCGGAAUACCAGUAAUUGUAUUCAGAGGAGUGUCUGAUUUGGCUGGGGGAGAAGCAACCUGGUCAUCUUCCUUCUUAGGAGAUCUUGCUUGUAUAAAUGCUCUCAAAGCAGCUGUGGAAUUUAUUGGAAUUCUUGGAAGAAGGAAAAUAUUGAGUUCAAGCUAGAGUUUGGAUCUUUGCAGGUGACUAAGAAAUAACCAAGAUGGAUGGUUUAAAGUGCAUGCCAAUCAUGGGGUGUAAAUGAGUCGAGCCGAGCUCGAGUCAUGCCUAACUUGAGCUCAACUCACCUGCCAAAUCACUAUUUGAACUCGAGCUCGAGCUUGGCUAGUACAAUAAAGAGAAGUUCACGAGCCAGCUCAUGAGCUCACAGUAAAAGGGUUGGUUUGCUGCCCAAUGCUCAAAGCUGGAGAAGAAGAAGACGAUGUUGCAUUUUUUCUUGUAUAGCGUGGACACGAUCAUAGCUGUGGAAGACU